rnacentral:rRNA from 1 species
UGAGUGGCGCACGGGAUGAGUAGCGCGUGGGAACCUACCCUUUCGUGGGGGAUAACCGAGGGAAACUUCGGCUAAUACCGCAUACGCCUGGUCCCCGGGAAAGAUUUAUCGCGGAAGGAUGGGCCCGCGUCGGAUUAGCUAGUUGGUGGGGUUAUGGCCUACCAAGGCAAUGAUCCGUAGCUGGUCUGAGAGGAUGAUCAGCCACACUGGGACUGAGACACGGCCCAUACUCCUACGGGAGGCAGCAGUAGGGAAUAUUGGACAAUGGGCGAAAGCCUGAUCCAGCAAUGCCGCGUGAGUGAGGAAGGCCUUAGGGUUGUAAAGCUCUUUCGGCGGGGACGAUGAUGACGGUACCCGCAGAAGAAGCCCCGGCUAACUUCGUGCCAGCAGCCGCGGUAAUACGAAGGGGGCAAGCGUUGUUCGGAAUUACUGGGCGUAAAGGGCGCGUAGGCGGCCAUCUUUGUCAGGUGUGAAAGCCCCGGGCUCAACCUGGGGAAUUGCACUUGGGACGGGGUGGCUUGAGUUCGGGAGAGGAGAGUGGAAUUCCCAGUGUAGAGGUGAAAUUCGUAGAUAUUG